AAUUCUCAACCUCACCAGUUUUGUAAUGAGACUGUGUAAGGCUUGGAUGUGGGGGUUUAUGCAGGCUGCCUCUGGCGGUCUGCUCCCCUGAAAUGCAUUAGCGAGUUCACUAAGCUCCGUCUAUUGGCGUGAUAAUUAUCUACGCCGUGGAAAGGGUUUAGACUUGCUUCUAACCGUCUGCAAAGACAACUUUUUGACA
rnacentral:misc_RNA from 1 species